rnacentral:rRNA from 1 species
UACGAAGGGUGCUAGCGUUGUUCGGAAUUACUGGGCGUAAAGAGCGCGUAGGCGGUCAUGCAAGUCAGGGGUGAAAUCCCGGAGCUUAACUCCGGAACUGCCUUUGAAACUGUAUGGCUGGAGUGUGUGAGGGGAUAGCGGAAUUCCUAAUGUAGAGGUGAAAUUCGUAGAUAUUAGGAGGAACACCGGUGGCGAAGGCGGCUAUCUGGCGCACAACUGACGCUGAGGCGCGAAAGCGUGGGGAUCAAACAGG